rnacentral:rRNA from 1 species
UACGUAGGGUGCAAGCGUUGUCCGGAAUUAUUGGGCGUAAAGAGCUCGUAGGCGGUUUGUCGCGUCUGCCGUGAAAGUCCGGGCUCAACUCCGGAUCUGCGGUGGGUACGGGCAGACUAGAGUGAUGUAGGGGAGACUGGAAUUCCUGGUGUAGCGGUGAAAUGCGCAGAUAUCAGGAGGAACACCGAUGGCGAAGGCAGGUCUCUGGGCCACUACUGACGCUGAGAAGCGAAGCAUGGGGAGCGAACAGG